rnacentral:rRNA from 1 species
GAUGAACGCUAGCGGGAGGCCUAACACAUGCAAGCCGAGCGGUAUUGUUUCUUCGGAAAUAAGAGAGCGGCGUACGGGUGCGUAACACGUGUGCAACCUGCCUUUAUCUGGGGGAUAGCCUUUCGAAAGGAAGAUUAAUACUCCAUAAUAUAUUGAACGGCAUCGUUUAAUAUUGAAAGCUCCGGCGGAUAGAGAUGGGCACGCGCAAGAUUAGCUAGUUGGUGAGGUAACGGCUCACCAAGGCGAUGAUCUUUAGGGGGCCUGAGAGGGUGAUCCCCCACACUGGUACUGAGACACGGACCAGACUCCUACGGGAGGCAGCAGUGAGGAAUAUUGGUCAAUGGGUGCAAGCCUGAACCAGCCAUCCCGCGUGAAGGACGACUGCCCUAUGGGUUGUAAACUUCUUUUGUAUAGGGAUAAACCUACCCUCGAGAGGGUAGCUGAAGGUACUAGACGAAUAAGCACCGGCUAACUCCGUG